rnacentral:rRNA from 1 species
UACAGAGGGUGCAAGCGUUAAUCGGAAUUACUGGGCGUAAAGCGUGCGUAGACGGUUACAUAAGUCGGGUGUGAAAGCCCCGGGCUCAACCUGGGAAUGGCAUUGGAAACUGGCGGGCUUGAGUGUGGCAGAGGGGGGUGGAAUUCCGCGUGUAGCAGUGAAAUGCGUAGAGAUGCGGAGGAACACCGAUGGCGAAGGCAAUCCCCUGGACCUGUACUGACGCUCAUGCACGAAAGCGUGGGGAGCAAACAGG